rnacentral:lncRNA from 1 species
CCAGCCAUACAAUAGAAUUAUAAAGCAGAAAAGUUUAGACAGAAUUUCCUAUUUAAGUGCCAAAACUUCAUACUCCACUUCUGAUAAAGACCACAAAGGUUUUAAAAAAAAAAAAACCUUAAUUUUUGACCCAAAGCUCUGUUGACAUUCUAUUAAACAAACAUCAACCUAUUUAAUUUUCAUAAUGUAAAUGGCAGAUAUUUUUAUAAUUCUUACGCUAAUAAAUCAUUUCCCUGAUGCUUUUGGUAAAACCGAAUAUUCAUAAUAAAGUCCAGAAGCAUGAAUUGUUUUAAAUAAUUUCUUCUUUGUGAUUACAAGUUUACCUCCACAGGAAGUUAGUAUACUCACACAGAAGAUAAUUCUUCGGAAGAAAAGGCCAACUGUAGAAUCUGCUAGAAACACAGUAAUGAUAAUCCUCCACAGAAUGACAAGGAGGUCAUUCGCAAAAUACAAAUAUUCAAGAAGAAACGUGAUCACCUGCAAUAAUAACAGUUGAAAUAAUGAAAAGGUCAAUGACAUUUAUGAUAUUUCAGUAAAUAAUAAUAAUCUUUAGAAACCAUGAACCUCCUCCAAGAGAAAACCACACCCCUCAGAUAACACCAGGAGAUUCCACUGUUUCAAAACAGAUUGGAAGUUACCAGUCUCAUGGUUUUUGCAUGGCUGGUAGUGUUUUGAGGCAUUCCAAAUGUAGAGUGUGUUUUUUU